rnacentral:lncRNA from 1 species
CUCUUGAUAGGCUUCCAGGGGGAGGAGGUGGGGGAGGUGGUCCACCUGGUGGCGGUGGUGGCGGUGGAGCACCUGGAGGAGGAGGAGGUGGUGGUGGAGCAGAUGGUACUUCGUUGGAAGGAUUUGCAUUUGUGGUAACAGCAGCAGCAGCACCACCACCAGAUGGCUUAGGAGGAGGUCUAGGCACCCUAGUAGGCCUUUUCUCAAUGUGAGCAAGCUUCAUCUUGCUAAUACUUUGAUUAUCAACAUUCUUUCCAUCAUCAGAUUGCUCAUUCG